rnacentral:lncRNA from 1 species
AUGCUGGGGCCUGAGCGGCUCCAGGGCUCCAGGAGGAUCUGGAGCAGGGGAUGGCUCUCCCUGCUCCCUGGCGACAGCUUCAGCCUGCCCCAGGGCACUGGCAGGAGCCAGAGCAGGGGAUGGCUCUCCCUGCUCAGCUGGUUCCAUGAGAGCCCGCUGCACUGCAGGAGCCUGAGGAGGGGCUGGCUCUCCCCGCUCCCGUCCUGGCGCUGCUUGUCUCCUGCCCUUGUGCAGGAGCCGAGCAGGGGAUGGCUCUCCCUGCUCCCUGGCGACCACUUCAGCCUGCCCCGGGCACUGGCAGGAGCCGGGGCAGGGGAUGGCUCUCCCUGCUCCCUGGGACCACUUCAGCCUGCCCCAGGGCACUGGCAGGAGCUGGAGCAGGGGAUGGCUCUCCCUGUCCCUGGCGACCACUUCAGCCUGCCCGGGCACUGGCAGGAGCCGGAGCAGGGGAUGGCUCUCCGCUGCCCUGGCGACCACUUCAGCCUGCCCGGGCACUGGAGGCUCUGGAGCAGGGGAUGGCUCUCCCUGCUCCCUGGCGACCACUUCAGCCUGCCCCGGGCACUGGCAGGAGCCAGAGCAGGGGAUGGCUCUCCCUGCUCCCUGGCGACCACUUCAGCCUGCCCCGGGCACUGGCAGGAGACCGGAGCAGGGGAUGGCUCUCCCUGCUCCCUGGGACCACUUCAGCCUGCCCCGGGCACUGGCAGGACCGGAGCAGGGGAUGGCUCUCCCUGCUCCCGGCGACCACUUCAGCCUGCCCCGGGGCACUGGCAGGAGCCCAGCAGGGAUGGCUCUCCCUGCUCCCUGGCGACCACUUCAGCCUGCCCGGGGCACUGGCAGGAGCCGAGGCGGGGAUGGCUCUCCCUGCUCCCUGGCGACCACUUCAGCCUGCCCCGGGCACUGGCAGGAGCCGGAGCAGGGGAUGGCUCUCCCUGCUCCCUGGCGACCACUUCAGCCUGCCCCGGGCACUGGAGGAGCCGGGGCAGGGGAUGGCUCUCCCUGCUCCCUGGUGCACCACUUCAGCCUGCCCGGGCACUGGCAGGAGCCGGAGCAGGGAGAGCCAUCCCCUGCUCUGGCUCCUCAGCCAGUGCCCCGGGGCACUGGCAGGAGCGGGGCAGGGGAUGGCUCUCCCUGCUCCCUGGCGACCACUUUCAGCCUGCCCCGUGGGCACUGGCAGGAAGCCGGAGCAGGGGAUGGCUCUCCCUGCCACUGUGCGACCACUUUCAGCCUGCCCCGGGGCACUGGCAGGAGCCAGCAGCGGAUGGCUCUCCCUGCUCCCUGGUGGACCACUUCAGCCAGCUUCCGCCCGGGCACUGGCAGGAGCGGAGCAGGGAGAGCCAUCCCCUGCUCCCUGGCGACCACUUCAGCCUGCCCGGGGCACUGGCAGGAGCCGGAGCAGGGGAUGGCUCUCCCUGCUCCCUGGCACCACUUCAGCCUGUCCCGGGGCACUGGCAGGAGCNNNNNNNNNNNNNNNNNNNNNNNNNCCUGCUUCCCCCUUAUGUCUGUGUAGCCGUUUAUGUUGCUCGUUUUCUUGUCUUUCUUUGGUCUUUAUGUAAAUUGUAA